UGUUCGCGCGAGAGGGAGCGCUGUUUAAGCGUGUGGAGAGCCCCCUUAAUGGCGGUUAGUAACUCCGUUUAGUCCUCUGAGGAAUCGGACCAGUCAGUGAGGAAAACCUUUAGAAUUAAGCACUUUGAGAUUUGUUCUACAAAACACUAUGUCUGAGAGACAACACCAACAAAAAAAUACUCAUCCAUCAAAGAACAAUGGGACAUACAAAAAUGAAGUUCUGGAAUUUCUGAAGUCCAAAAUCAAGACACCAGCAGGUUCAGUAUCUG